rnacentral:rRNA from 1 species
UACGUAGGGUGCGAGCGUUGUCCGGAAUUAUUGGGCGUAAAGAGCUCGUAGGCGGUUUGUCGCGUCUGCUGUGAAAUCCGGAGGCUCAACCUCCGGCCUGCAGUGGGUACGGGCAGACUAGAGUGCGGUAGGGGAGAUUGGAAUUCCUGGUGUAGCGGUGGAAUGCGCAGAUAUCAGGAGGAACACCGAUGGCGAAGGCAGAUCUCUGGGCCGUAACUGACGCUGAGGAGCGAAAGCAUGGGGAGCGAACAGG